rnacentral:snoRNA from 1 species
AAGCGGGUGUCUGACGCUGAGCUUUCAGCUGUUGUUCAUCUUUGAUGAUCGUUCUGCCUUCCCAUGGGUUGAGCAGAGGGAGAAAGGGCUGUCUGAGUGGU